rnacentral:rRNA from 2 species
UUGAUCCUGGCUCAGGACGAACGCUGGCGGCGUGCCUAAUACAUGCAAGUCGAGCGAAUCAAUAGGAGCUUGCUCCUGUUGGUUAGCGGCGGACGGGUGAGUAACACGUGGGCAACCUGCCUGUAAGACUGGGAUAACACCGGGAAACCGGUGCUAAUACCGGAUAAUCCUUUUCCUCUCAUGAGGAAAAGCUGAAAGUCGGUUUCGGCUGACACUUACAGAUGGGCCCGCGGCGCAUUAGCUAGUUGGUGAGGUAACGGCUCACCAAGGCGACGAUGCGUAGCCGACCUGAGAGGGUGAUCGGCCACACUGGGACUGAGACACGGCCCAGACUCCUACGGGAGGCAGCAGUAGGGAAUCUUCCACAAUGGACGAAAGUCUGAUGGAGCAACGCCGCGUGAGCGAUGAAGGCCUUCGGGUCGUAAAGCU